rnacentral:rRNA from 1 species
AUUUUUAAAGAGCCGCGGUAUUUUGACCGUGCAAAGGUAGCAUAAUCAUUAGUCUCUUAAUUAGUGGCUGGAAUGAAUGGCUUGACGAGAAAUCAACUGUCUCUUAAUAAAUUUUUGAAUUUAACUUUUGAGUCAAAAGGCUUAAAUUCUUCUUUAGGACGAGAAGACCCUAUAGAGCUUGACAUUUUACUUUUAUAUAGUUUUUUGUUUGUCUUUCUAUAUUUAAUGAUGAUGUUUUGUUGGGGUGACAUGAAGAAUAGAUAAACUCUUCAUUAUUAUAUCAUUUAUUUAUGUUUGUUAUUUUGAUCCAUAAUUUAUGAUCAUAAGAUUAAGUUACCUUAGGGAUAACAGCGUAAUUGUUUUUGAGAGCUCAUAUCGACAAAGCAGAUUGCGACCUCGA